rnacentral:rRNA from 1 species
UACGGAGGGUGCAAGCGUUACCCGGAAUCACUGGGCGUAAAGGGCGUGUAGGCGGAUCACUCAGUCUGGUUUAAAGACCGGGGCUCAACCCCGGGCAUGGACUGGAUACUGGUGAUCUUGACCUCUGGAGAGGUAGCUGGAAUUCCUGGUGUAGCGGUGAAAUGCGCAGAUAUCAGGAAGAACACCCCGUGGCGGAAGGCGGCUCUCUGG